GCUCAGAUUGAACGCUGGCGGCAGGCCUAACACAUGCAAGUCGAACGGUAACAGAAAGCAGCUUGCUGCUUUGCUGACGAGUGGCGGACGGGUGAGUAAUGUCUGGGAAACUGCCUGAUGGAGGGGGAUAACUACUGGAAACGGUAGCUAAUACCGCAUAACGUCGCAAGACCAAAGAGGGGGACCUUCGGGCCUCUUGCCAUCGGAUGUGCCCAGAUGGGAUUAGCUAGUAGGUGGGGUAAAGGCUCACCUAGGCGACGAUCCCUAGCUGGUCUGAGAGGAUGACCAGCCACACUGGAACUGAGACACGGUCCAGACUCCUACGGGAGGCAGCAGUA
rnacentral:rRNA from 1 species